ensembl:ncRNA K02A11.7 ncRNA
CUUUUAAGCUUUAUCACUCUAUCUCUCUCUUCAUUUUCUCAGCUGGCCGGUCCUUGAGCUGUGAUCGGUUGUGGCACGUAGACUCCGCCACCAUCAUCACCGAUCGACCAAUGUGUGAUAGUGGACCCUUUGGAAGUGUUGCAUUCAAU